GCCUGUUCUGCCUGCACAGCCAAUCACGGCACAGAGCUACUGCUCCACAGAUUGGCAAAGAAUGCAGUCAAUCAUUCCCUAGCCACUAACGCCCCUCCUGGGUAGAUAGUCUCCGCUUUUCAAAGGGAAAAUUUUUCUUUUCACCAAGAAUGUCUGUUUUAAGUCUGUGUGCUAACCUUGUUUUCAUUAAUGUGUGUUAACCCCUAAAUAACUAAAGUUUGUUUUAAGUUUUAAAUAAGAUGUAGUUAAGCUAAAUGUGGUUUUAAAGAUCCCAACUCAUAGAGUUGGCACACCUUUACCAGAGUAAAAUAUAGGAUAGUUUCGUCCUUCUGAUAGCUAAUAUCAGCAUCAAUUCAU